AUACCCGCUGAACUUAAGCAUAUCAAUAAGCGGAGGAAAAGAAACCAACAGGGAUUGCCUCAGUAACGGCGAGUGAAGCGGCAACAGCUCAAAUUUGAAAUCUGGCUCUUUCAGGGUCCGAGUUGUAAUUUGUAGAGGAUGCUUCGGCUUACGCCCCGGUCUAAGUUCCUUGGAACAGGACGUCGCAGAGGGUGAGAAUCCCGUAUGUGACCGGCGGCCCCCGCCAUGUGAAGCUCCUUCGACGAGUCGAGUUGUUUGGGAAUGCAGCUCUAAAUGGGAGGUAAAUUUCUUCUAAAGCUAAAUACCGGCCAGAGACCGAUAGCGCACAAGUAGAGUGAUCGAAAGAUGAAAAGCACUUUGGAAAGAGAGUUAAAAAGUACGUGAAAUUGUUGAAAGGGAAGCGCUUGCGACCAGACUUGUCCGCGGAUGCUCCGCCGGUCCUUCGGCCGGUUUACUCUUCCGCGGUCAGGCCAGCAUCAGUUUGGGCGGUCGGAUAAAGGCCUUGGGAAUGUGGCUCUCUUCGGGGAGUGUUAUAGCCCUCGGCGCAAUGCGACCCGUCCGGACUGAGGCCCGCGCUUCGGCUAGGAUGCUGGCAUAAUGGUCGUAAGCGGCCCGUCUUG
rnacentral:rRNA from 1 species